rnacentral:rRNA from 1 species
UACGUAGGCAGCGAGCGUUGUUCGGAGUUACUGGGCGUAAAGCGUGCGUAGGCGGUCUUGUAAGUUUGGUGUGAAAUCUCCCGGCUUAACCGGGAGGGUGCGCCGAAAACUGCAAGGCUGGAGUAUGGGAGAGGUAGGCGGAAUUCCUGGUGUAGCGGUGAAAUGCGUAGAUAUCAGGAGGAACACCAGUGGUGUAGACGGCUUACUGGACCAUGACUGACGCUGAGGCACGAAAGCGUGGGUAGCAAACAGG